CCUACGGGAGGCAGCAGUGAGGAAUAUUGGUCAAUGGACGCAAGUCUGAACCAGCCAUGCCGCGUGCAGGAAGACGGCUCUAUGAGUUUUAAACUGCUUUUGUACGAGGGUAAACGCAGAUACGCGUAUCUGUCUGAAAGUAUCGUACGAAUAAGGAUCGGCUAACUCCGUGCCAGCAGCCGCGGUAAUACGGGGGAUUCAAGCGUUAUCCGGAGUUAUUGGGUGUAAAGGGUGCGUAGGCGGUCGGAUAAGUUAGAUGUGAAAUCCCGAGGCUCAAACUCGGAAUUGCCUCUGAUACUGUUCGGCGAGAGAGUAGUUGCGGUAGGCGGAAUGUAUGGUGUAGCGGUGAAAUGCUUAGAGAUCAUACAGAACACCAAUUGCGAAGGCAGCUUACCAAGCUACUUCUGACGUUGAGGCACGAAAGCGUGGGGAGCAAACAGGAUUAGAUACCCGAGUAGUC
rnacentral:rRNA from 1 species